GCGCCUAUAGCUCAGCUGGAUAGAGUGGCAGACUUCGAAUCUGAAGGUCGGGGGUUCGAAUCCCUCUAGGCGCACCA
rnacentral:tRNA from 1 species